rnacentral:lncRNA from 1 species
UCAUUUCUACAAGGAUCUCACUAUACUAGACACAUCCAAAGUUAGUUCGAAUUUGAUUCCUAUUUCAUAUCACACAGAGAAACCACUGUCACUAUUGUACUACACAGUUGUUGAAUUUUCUCACCAGAAACUUUUGGCUCCUCCUCACCUACCUUGUUUUCACACAAUUAAUACCCCCACUUAGACCUUAACAAUCCAACACACACAGAGAGAGACCUAUUAUAAGUAUCACUCUCAUUCUUAAACUCACCUCCAAAAUACUUGCAUUCAACUCACUAGAGUUUAAAGACUUCAAAAUCAUGAAGAAAUUCUUCUUUCCAGCUCUUCUUCUUGUAGCUCUUGUAGCGCAACUU